rnacentral:tRNA from 1 species
GCCAUCGUGCCCGAGUGGUCAAGGGGAUGGUCUUGAAUCCGUCAAGGUAACCAUUGGGCUUUGCCCGCGCGUGUUCGAACCACGCCGAUGGCU